CUGUGAAAAUGGUUUUCUAUUACACAAACUCCAAGGUGGAUUCGGCUCUCGAAAAAAUUUCGGGAAACCAAAAACAGCAUUCGAAUUUUCACAUCAGUCAUACAUUAAAUUUGGAUGUUAUUAUAAAAUUGGCGGAAAUUGUAUUGGCUUUGGUAUUCUGCUUAAUUGUGCUAUAUUUUUGUAUUAAAAGGAUCAAUCGUAACAAAAUUAAACGUGAAAAUGUGACAAAACUUAUUCAAUACAAUCAUGUGCUACCGAAGCUGCAUCAACAAGAAAAGGAUAAAAUCAAUUCGUUUGAAAAUAAAUACCCUACAUUUAUAAAUUUAUCAAACCCAAACGUCGAUGUAAAAGGCUCAGCGGAAAAACAUUUGACAACACAUAUUCAGCACAAACCUGAGCCACCGAAGCUGCAUCAACAAGAAAAGGGCAAAAUCAAUUCGCUUGAAAAAGAUCAAGCAACAAUUAUAGAUUUAUCCAACCCAGACGUCGAUGUAAAAGGCUUCACCGAAAUACUUGGUGACCCCGCUGUAAUUGAUGAUGUUAGACUAUAUUUAGCAUUCCUUAAAGAUCAACCCUCGUACGUCUGUUAUGACGGAAACACUUUGGCGAACAUCAAACUACGUCUGGUGGCCCACGGACUUCCGAUAUCUUCCGAGCUACUGUUGCGCAUAUUCAUUUCGUACCACACAUCCUUGGGAAACUCUGAAUCCGAAGCUCUAAACGAUCUUAAUGCUUUUAGACGCCACGCUGUCGACAAAAGAAUGUGUCAGUUGCAGAUGGUGCGUGAAGGUCGGCGCAACUUUUACUCUUGAGGAAAUUCUGGAAACUACGCAAAAAAUACAACAUUCAAACCGCCUUCAAUCAUAUGGAAGCUCAAUCGUUUAUGUCAUCAGAAAAUCAACCAGGAGCGUGCAGGGAUGCCCAGUUUGCUACAGAUAAACUUAGAUGGUUAGAUUUAUUUCUUGAAUGGAUGGGACACAAUGCCUAUAACUAUUAAUAAUCGGUUAACAAUGUUCAUGAAAUUUUCAACGACGUAAUGUUUCAUAAAUAUCAAAAAAGUAACUUUUUCGCAGAAUGAACACGGUCAAACAUUUGCAAAAAUAAAUCAGACAUCUUGCAAUUCAAUUGUACAUCUCACUACUAUACUCACCUAUACAGAAACACAUUGCUUUUAUUUAAGCCAUAUUGAGUUAGCUGUUGAUUGGCUAAAUUGACUGGUACGUGUCAGAAAUAUAUUAGUUAGCACAUAAGUUGGUUUUGAGUAUGCAUUUGAAGAAAUUUCGAAGAGCACAGAGCUUUAGGAUGGUUAUGAAGUGCUACAAUGUUUGUUGCCCAUGAUAAAUCCAUCACGUACAACCAGAAAAUAUGAACAACUUUACUACGCUACCAACAUCGUAAGAAUGCCUAAGAAUAUAUUGCAUGCAAUUUCUCCAAGGACCAAGGAUCCUGUGCUUACCGAAUAAAAAAAACUCCCGGUAAAACUCAAAAAUGUAACUCAGUAGAACUAAUGCCCUCCUUGGUGCCGUCACGGUAAUAAUAUAUUAUCUAAAAUAUUUAACGAUAAACGAUGUAACCAAAGAAAAUACUAAUGACCACCAAUAUAAAACGAUAAAAUCUGGAGAUAUUGGGACAACAUUUGUACUCCUGUUCAAAACAUAAUCAACAUAAAACUCUAAUUUACUCCUCUCACAAAGAGUAUGUUCCUUUCUCUCACUCUUAUGACGUCACUCUUAAAGCAUCACUCGCAGCUUAAUGGACCGGAUCGUUCGUUAAUAGGCCAAAUUGUCUGGUUUGUGUUGGUGACAGUUUGGUCAACCCGCACUUUGUAGUUGUACUAGUCUUAAUUUUGAUCAAUUUCACGAGGGAACCAUUCAGUGUAGAACGAACUAGUGAUCCGGGAAGAUGGGUAACUUAUUCACCACCACUGAAGUUCCGAAAAAGUCAAUUCAUAAAGCUCUUAAAAACAUUACGGAUAAGCAAGAUGAACAUACGGAUUUUCAUUUCAAACAUGAAGCAAAUCUUCAUACAGCGAUCAUAUUGCUGUUAGCUUUGCUGACUUUGAUAUGCUGCAUCGCUGGGUAUUUUAUAAUUAAGUGGCGUAAGCGCCAUAGCAAACGUAAUCGUGAAAAUGUGCCAGACAUUAUUCAACACAAUGCUAUGCAGCCUGUGUUAUUAAAACUGCUUCAACAAGAACUGUGUGAAAAGGCCACAUUAAAACUGCAGCAACAAGCACUGUGUGAAAAUGCAACAGUCAUACAAGUAGCCAAUCAAGACGAUUUAAAAAGGACGGGCGGAUAAAAUUUCAUCUAUUAUCACAUGCCACUUGGAAACUCGGAAUUCAACCCUCUAUUCGAUCUGGACGCAUUGAAACAACAAAAUUGCGAAACAGCUGUUCUUUCCCAAACGAAUUAGGAAAUAAAAGAAGCUGAUAAAAUGUUUACCUCACAGUAAAACAUAAUACAUUCAAUCGUGACCACGCCCAGUUCAUUCAUCUCCUCAGUUUUGUAAACCAUAAAACUGUACGCUGACUAAAUACUUGGCAAAAGUGCCAAACUGAAUGCCGUUGGAACCUGCCGAGGAAGCAUCGCUGACUGAAGUUUUAUACAGGAGUACAUAUUGUCCCAUAGUUGGUUAAAAAUAUAUCAAUUGUAUUGAAAUUUGGCUAUAAUAACGUGCUACACGUGUUACAAGAUAGCACACGAGCGACGACAAAUUGUUGCAUGCAAAUGCGUAUCAUUUAGCACUUUUAGAGCCUUUCGACUAUGUCACUCGUCAUUCGCCAAUAUCAAAUUAUUAGAAUAAAAUACCUAUAAUUUCAUGCUUGAAUCAGAAAUAAAUCGUAAAAAAAUAACACAAUUAACUACUCCAUUGAAUCUAAAAUAAAUCUGAAAAAAUCGGAAUUUCGACUCCAUUAAAGUCACCAUCCCAAUUAUAAAGCUAUUCCGGACACACUCUGAAAAUUUUAUAAAGAUUGGUUGAAAACAUCAAAAGUUGCGAUUUGUCUAGCAUUGACGUCAUCCUAUACAGUGUCAAAAAUGCGCAACAAAGCAAAAAUCACAAAGCAA